rnacentral:lncRNA from 1 species
GGAGCUCGAAGAGUCAAUGCGGAGAGAGUAUCCGCAUCUAUUUGAAUCGACGAGUUAAGGUAUGCGUAAUUUCGCGGACGAAAUUAUUUUAAGGGGUGGAGAAUGUAAUAUACCGAAAAUUCGGAAAAUAAAUAUCGAACUUUAGUCAAAUCGACCGAAGUGCGAGGAUGGUACACUUCAGAAAGUCCGAAGGUGUUAAAAUGAUUAAAAGUGAGUUACGGGAGGUUUUCGAGAGCUAUAGAAU